AAUCAAAAAAUAUUCUUUUAUUGAUAAAUCAAAAUCGCUAACAUUACAAGGGGUGUCGUAUAUUUAAUCUUUAAAUAUAUAUACAAUUCGCAUGAGUUAUAUUGGUAUGAUAGUCGUCAUGUUUCGGACUAUAAAUAAAUUACUCAGACAUGAUAAACAGAAAAAUAACACAUGCAUAUAAUGAAUUCAUCAUAAAAUCAGUCAAAAUGGAACUUGUAAAUGAUAUAAAUGUUUAUGAAAUUAAAGGUGCUAUGAAGGGAGACUUUGAUCCAAGAGUACAACAAUGAUCCAAUGAAAGUGCAACAGAGAAAUAGAAGAUAGCGACAAUGAUAGAAAGCUUCAAAUUUUGCAUAAAACUAUAAUGAAAAUCUAGAGUAAUUCAGUACAAAUGUGCUUGGGUGCUUUUCCUAUGAGUUAUGGCCCUAUUUGUACAUAUUUUUGCAUUCCAAAUACUUAAGAAAUUGUGCAGAAUCAAGAGAGAAUGGUCGAGAAAAAGGCUGAAACAAAUUGAGAAAGUGGAGAAAAACAGGGACUAUAGUAGAUUACGAGCAUCAUCCUAGAUGAAGGUUUUCCCUUCAUCUUUUGUAAAUUUAGUUUCAGGGCCCAUGAUGGGCGUCAUUUGUAAUGACAACCUUCCUGUCAUAGGUCAUAGGUUCUUCAGCGUUGGCUUCUCUGUUUGUUUUUUAGCCAUGACGACCGGCUCCUCGGGGCGUGAUAUGCGUCAUGCCUACCCAUCAUGAAACCUUAUUCUUUUUUUAUUAUUAUUUUUCAUUUGUUCCUUCUAUAGUCGUUUCCAAUCGCCAUAUACUCGAAACACAAUGAAAACAGCCAGUAUUGCAAUAAAAGGAAUAUAAAACGAUAUUAAAAACACUAAAAUUAAGCUAAAAAACAUGGUGAAAUGCUUGUUAUCAUUGAUAUAAUGUUAGAAUGCAACAAAAAAAAAGUAGACUGGAUAUAUUAUU
rnacentral:lncRNA from 1 species